GAUGAACGCUGGCGGCGUGCUUAACACAUGCAAGUCGAACGGAAAGGCCCAAGCUUGCUUGGGUACUCGAGUGGCGAACGGGUGAGUAACACGUGGGUGAUCUGCCCUGCACUUCGGGAUAAGCCUGGGAAACUGGGUCUAAUACCGGAUAGGACGAUGGUUUGGAUGCCAUUGUGGAAAGUUUUUUCGGUGUGGGAUGAGCUCGCGGCCUAUCAGCUUGUUGGUGGGGUAAUGGCCUACCAAGGCGUCGACGGGUAGCCGGCCUGAGAGGGUGUACGGCCACAUUGGGACUGAGAUACGGCCCAGACGCCUACGGGAGGCAGCAGUGGGGAAUAUUGCACAAGGGGCGCAAGCCUGAUGCAGCGACGCCGCGGGGGGGAUGACGGCCUUCGGGUUGUAAACGCCUUUCGCUAGGGACGAAGCGUUUUGUGACGGUACCUGGAGAAGAAGCACCGGCUAACUACGUG
rnacentral:rRNA from 1 species